UUAAUGGCUUUUUUCAAGGCCAUACACUUAAGAGUGGAAUAGAUAU
rfam:Phoenicopterus ruber ruber contig76748, whole genome shotgun sequence.